rnacentral:lncRNA from 1 species
GGGGGAGCUAAGUGUUAACCCAGGUCUGCAUGAUGAAAAGUGUCGUAGAGAGUUCUUGAGUCUGAAGGCCAAUGAUAUCAGAUGGAAAGUGGGAUCUACAACAUGAAAGAAUGGCGUUGGAAAUGAUAAAUAUAUGGGCCCACUCACCAGACCACCCACACUGGGUGGACUUACCCUCUUUCCUGGGAGAAGAAUGAGGUUCUUGGAAUCGUCUCUAGUUGGGGGAAGGCAGUGAUUGUGUCAAACAGCCGUAUGGAGAGGUCUGCAUAGGGAAGAACUGAAGUCUACCAAAACCCACAGGAAUAAUCUUGGAUGUGGACACUCUAUCCCCAGGUAGGUUUUGAAAUGACUGAAACCCUGACUGUCAGCCUGACUGCAACCUCAUGAAAGACCCUGAGCCACAACACUCCAGCAGGUGCUCCCAGAUUCCUGAUCCUCAGAAACUGUUUGAUAAUCAAUGCCAUUACAAUACUGACAGUACCUGAUGCAUACAAUAUCAGCAAUAAAAUAUCAGCUGCUUUUAUAAUUUGUCCUUUAAAAGCUGAUGCUUCUAAAUCUGUAAAUCUCAUUGCCAGGGUUGCCAUUGCCAAACUGUGCUGUGGAAUAGCCAAUGUCAGUGGUUCAAGUAUGGCAGUCUCUCUUCCUUUCCCUGGCUUCUAUAAAGGCACAAGAUUAUUAAAUGGGUUCUGGCUAAAGAGCAUUGGCAAAGUGAUUGGGAAUCCCUAUGGAAAUCCUAUCUCCCUCUAGCACACUUUCCUCAAUGUAUCUCUCCAGGCUCUGCCUUGCAAAGUUUCAGUGCUGCCUUCUGGUCUCUCUUGCACAUUCUAUUUUUCAGGACUCUUUCUUAUUUUCUCAAUCUUUUCAGACAUGUUGAUAACCCAGAUUCACCUUCUUUGGGACAUGGACUUCUUUUCUCCUUCGACUUUGGGCUCCAUGGUUGCAGAAUCUGCCACUGAAUCAAUUGAUUUUUCUAGAAGCAGAAAUUGAGAUCAAAUUUGGAGUGUAAGAACUUUAUUGAGGAUAAUAUCUUGGAAGGUAAUAGAAAGAGAAGCAGGAUCAGGCAGAGAAAGCCUCAGGUUGUUAUGUAGAUCUGACACCUGGAAAGGAAAGGUGGGAACUAGUAAGAUUGUGUUGGGAUAACCUGAGAUCAUGAUUCAGGUUUGAAAAGUCACUGAUCCAACAAUGAGCUGCAGAGAGAAGAUCCUGAAAGGUGUCCAAAUUCAGGCUGAAAUCAGCAGGCUCUAGUACCUUUACAAUGCUCAGUCAUGAUUGAGGGCUCCCUGGGAAACUUGGGGUCUCAUAUGAAAAGUAUAAAUGGAUUCUAAAGAUGCUAACAGCUGGGGGCUGUCAGCUCACCGCUUUUCGUAGCUGAAUGGCAGCUUCUUUCUUGAAGGGAAGUUUGAGUGUUGCAUUUCUGUGACUGCUACAGCCAUCUUCAUUCCCAUAGCCAUGUCUGGGUUCUUGGAUCCAUGACCUUUGUCAAAUGCCUGAGCUUCAAGCUUGCUUGGCAACAGGAAUCUGACUUGCCCUGAAUGGAGUGUCAAUAUGAAGAAAGAAGCUACUCUUUGAAGUGAGAUAGAAGUAAUUAUCUUUAGGGGAACCUUAUGGGAUCCGGGGGGGUUGGGGUGUUGUUAGUAAUCAAUCAUCAUGUUUUCACUGAGCAUAUACUUUGUACAUGUAAUGUGUAUCAUGUUUGCUGUUGGAAACUUACAACUAUAGAAUCAUGAAAUUAUAUGGGACUUGAGUGCCCAGCUAGGUAUCCCUCCCAUAAGCAAGAAUCUCUUGUAUAAUAACCCUUAUUGUUUCAGUAUCUUCUUACAUACCUCCAGUGAUGGCAAGCUUAUCCCUUUAGUCAUCCUUUUGGUUGUUGAAUAGCUCUACUUGAUAAAGUCUUCCCUCUUAGGUGAAACGCAAAAUAUUCCCAGCACCUUUAAUUUUUGAAGCCAUUUUAAUAAGACUUUUGCUGUCUCAUUUAUGAAUCCUUUGAAAACUUGAAAUACAGUUGUCUUUGUUCUUAAAAUACUGUUAGAGAGAGGAGGCUAUUAGAGUCUCUGAUUCACUAGCUGUAAAACCAUGGGGUCUGACUACUCCUGAUCACCAGUCUCUUUAUGACCUAGAAGUCUGUGAAGCCAUGAAAACUUCAUGGAACAAUUCUGAAAUAAAAGAGAAAUCCAUAUAAAUUAAAAGACAAUGCACCCUCACUCUGAAGUGUUUGUUGUAUAUUUCCUCUGGAGCACAGUGGGACUCAGGAAUCGUGGGACCAUCUGCUGAGCUAUUGCCCACUUAUGCUGAAAUAAAACAGGCUCUUUCUAAUUAGAAGCAUGUUCCUCAAGAUGAAACAAUACACGCUCUUCAACAUUUCUCCACCAUUAACAAUUCCUGAUGCUGACUGGACAUGUUAAUACAGCCCCCCUCUCCAUCAGGAAAACAAAUAAAACUGGCAGGAUGGUUCACAGCAUGAGAAAGAAUUCUUUAUAGUUACCCUCAACCAGCACUCAUUAAUGCACUACCUACUCACUAUACACUGGUCUCCAUGAUAGGUUCUGUCUCAUAUAUUGUUUUAUUUAAUAUUCACAAGGACAUUAUGAGGCAGAUUUUAGGAACUCCACAUUCUCAAUGAGAAGCCUCAGAGUAAUCAAGUGACUUGUUCAAGGUUGCUAAGUGAAUGAACUAGGACCUUUUGACUUGAAGUCCAGUGCUCUGUCUACUCUAACACUACGAGGAAAAAUAUAUUUUUUUUAAUUUUUUUUUUUGCUUUUUAGGGCUACACCCAUGGCAUAUGUGGGUUCCCAGGCUAGGGGUCUAAUUGGAACUACAGCUGCCAGCCUACACCACAGCCAUAGCUUUUCCAGUAUAUCAGGCUCACUCAGACUUGAGGGAAGUUGAGGAAGAAGCAAAGAAUGCCCCUGGGGUUUCAAAAAACAAUAGAGGGCACAGGGACAUUAAUAGGAUGGAGUGGUCAGAAAAGGGGUGUGAAAGGGCUGGAGAAAGUGAGUUUGAUUCUUGACAUGUUUUUUCAUUCAAGUUAAGACCCAUUUCUCCCUUAUGGUUUAGUUCACAGAUAAUUCAAUUCUCUGUGGUAAUAUAUCGAGGAAAAUUAUUUUACUGGCAAUGUACUUAGCCAUUUGAGAGAAAAGCACGCCCUCCUCUUUCUGCUAUGUUGGAGACUGACCCUGUGGCCAGCUGUUCCUAUAUGCCCUCUUAGGCCAGCCAAGAACAGCCGCUAACUUUCAGUCCUCAGCUACAUGACAGCCGUCCGAGUCCAAGGCCCACAGCUCUGGAAUUCACUGUCAGAGCAAAUAUAAAUAAAUCCAAACCUCCAUCUACCAUGGCCUGGCAUAUGCUUUGCGGGGAGGGAAAGUGGGGUGGGAAGCCCUACUCACAGCUCCAUCUAAAAAAAAGACUAUUUCUUAAGUCUCCCCAAGUGCCAUUCCAUCGAGAAAUCUGGGACCUCCACGGGAGUGUAAAUCUGUAACAGCAGUCAUUUUAAGACUCUCAGGCAAUCAAAACCAUCCUUCUAAUAUGCAAGGGGCACCGGCUGUAUCAGUCAACAUCCCAGCUAGAAAAAGAUGACAUUCUCAAACUGGAUGAUUUGAGGAUAGUUUUAAGAAAGGGUUUUUCACCAGAUAUAGUCAUGGAUUAGAGUAACACGGGAUGUAAAGUACCCUGCAACUGGUAAGAAGAGGAAGUGGUUCUAGGCUUAUGCUAGAAGGUUAAGCAGUUGGUGGGGGCGGGGGCGGGGGGGAGAUGGUUACCAGAACCCAGAGAGGAUCAUCUUAGGAGCAGGACCCUGAAAAGACCUGUGGUUCUCAAGCUGGGGACACAGCCAGCCUGAGGUGAUCUGUCGUGGAGAGAGUCUAGAGAGUGAACACCCAGUCUCACUUUCCUUCUGUAUUUUAAUCUCUUGCCUCCUUUUAGCUGAAUCCAAGAAAUCUAUCGAUCAUGGGAGCCUGUUGAUGGGUUCAUAGAGGCCAGUAUCCAGGAGCACAGAGCCAUUGGAUAAUGAUUAGGAAGAUCCACCUGGAGGGUACUUGGCACUGUCCACUACUUUUGCCCUUCAGCCUCUCCUCUUCUCUCUGUCCAGGUGAAAGAUUUCUGUCCUCAAAAUAGAUUACACAAUGUUCCAUCAGAUACUGUAACAUCCCCUGAGGAUUUUCAUGCCUUUAUAAUCUCAUCUGAAGACUAAAAGAACCCUAGCCACUACCAAGUUCUUUAUGAAAAGUCGUGGGUAGAAAUGAAGGAUGGAUUUAAAAAAAUAAUUAAAUAAAACACGAAGAUGUAAGCUCAGCUUCUACAUAAUGGAUCAUGAGGUAUGUAGAUAAUUAUAGCUGCCUUCUACUGCCAUUUGUAUUUCUAUUACUCACUGCCAGUUCCUCAGCCAGAUGACAUUCUUUACCUAUUGAAAUAACCCCAAUAUUUAUUUUUAUGAGAUCCCAGGCCUUGAAAAUCCUGUUUUUUGUUUUUUUCUUCUUAACCAUUUUUAAAAAUUGAAAUAUUGUUAUAGUGUUGUGUUCAUUUCAGGUGUAUAGCAAAGUGAUUCAGUUAUAUAUAAAUAUACAUUUAAUUCUUUUUCAGAUUAUUUUCCAUUAUAAAUUAUUAUAAAAUAUUGGAUAUAGUUCCCUCUCCUAUAGUUCUUGUUUUUUAUUUAUUUUAUAUAUAGUAGUGUGUAUAUGUUAAACCCAAAUUCUCAGUUAAUCCUCCCCUUUUCCCUUUGGUAACCAUAAAUUUGUUUUCUGUAUCUGUGAGUCUAUUUCUGUUUUGUAUAUACCACGUACCAUUUUUUUAGAUUCCACGUAUAAGUGAUGUCACAUGAUAUUUGUCUUUCUCUGUCUGAUAUUCACUGAAUAUGAUAAUCUCUAGGUCCAUCCAUGUUACUGUAAAUGGCAUUAUUUCAUACUUUUUUAUGGCUAAGUAAUAUUCCAUUGAAAGUAUAUACUGCAUCUUUUUUUAUCCGUUCUUCUGUUGAUGGACAUUUAGGUUGCUUUCAUGUAUUGGCUAUUAUAAAUAGUGCUACUAUAAACAUUGGGGUGCAUGCAUCUUUUUGAAUUAGAGUUUUCCCCACAUAUAUGCCCAGGAGUGGGAUUACUGGAUUAUAUGAUAACUCUUGAAAAAUCCUGUUUUGGUUUGCCCUGGUUUUCCAUUGAAGAGGACUGUUGGAGAACAAGAGGUGCUCCAAUGAAUCCCCUAGGUUAUAGAGACAGUUGUGUUCACCAAAAUUGUGAGGUAGCCUCUCAAUUUUCCUCUGAUAAUUGGAAUCAGAUAUCCUUACUGGGACAAUGGCAUCUUCCUUUGCCUAUUGGCUCAGCCACAUGAGAAGCCCAGAAAAUAUGGGAGAGUAACAUACUUGGCAUCUUGUUCAACAGUAAUAGAACUUAUUCUCUGGUGAAAUUAUUUCUCCUUUGGGACAGUAGUAACCCUUGGGACAAUGGGUUCCAAACCCAUUGAACCCAAGAUAAUGAUUUGGCUAGCAAAAACUUCUCCAUAGAAUGUUGCCGCCCACCUUGUGCCAAAAGUAAGCCUUUAUUAGGCCAUUCCAUCAUUCCAUCAAGCCAAUGGUGUGUAUGAAUAUUGGAGCACAUGGUAAGACUAGGGAAUUCUGAGGACUGGAACCCACUAUCAUUAUCUCCUUUGUUAUAAAAUGUUUUCACUAAUCAAAAGCAAAGUUAGUAGUAUAUUGUAGCAGUAGAUUUCUUUGCUAAUCCCUGGUUACCUAGAACAAUGCAUGGUACAUAAAAAGUACUCAAAAGCAUUUCUUUUUUUUUGUCUUUUCUAGGGCCACACCCAUGGUGUAUGGAGGUUCCUAGGUUAGGGGUCUAAUUGGAGCUGUUGCUGCCGGCCUACACCAGAGCCAUAGCAACGCAGGGUCUGAGCUGUGUCUGCAACCUACACCACAGCUCAUGGCAACGCCGGAUCCUUAACCCACUGAGCAAGGCCAGGGAUCAAACCCACAACCUCAUGGUUCCUAGUCGGAUUCAUUAACCACUGAGCCACGAUGGGAACUCCCCGAAAGCAUUUCUUAAAUGCAGACUAAGAAAGGAAUAAAUUGACCAAGAAUGAAAUGAAUGAAAUAAAGGAAACACACAUACAUAAGGAGAGAGCAAGGGGAGAAAUGAGAAGCUCUGAGAAAGACUGGCCCAAGAGAUAGAAAAAAUGGAAUAAAUAGAUGGAGAAGAGUGCUGACAAAGUGAAGCAGGAGAAUGGAAAGCAGGGAAUGGCCAAGACGGUCACAUGCUGCCAAGAUGUUGCAUAAGAUGAAGGCAAGAAAUGCACAGUGGAAUUGGCGACUAGGUCAGAGAGGGAAUGAAGAGCCAGAAACUGAUGGAUUUAAAUGAGGAAAUGGAGCCAGAGAGUGUUGACAACUCUUUUAAGAAAAUUGGGUGAAAAAAAAAA